GAUGAACGCUAGCGGGAGGCUUAACACAUGCAAGUCGAGGGGCAGCAUAGGGUAGCAAUACUCUGAUGGCGACCGGCAAACGGGUGAGUAACGCGUAUGCAACCUACCCUGUACAGGGGGAUAACCCGGAGAAAUUCGGACUAAUAUCCCGUAAUAAUAUCCGGAGGCAUCUUUGGAUAUUUAAAGUUCCGACGGUACGGGAUGGGCAUGCGUAACAUUAACUGGUUGGUAAGGUAACGGCUUACCAAGGCUAUGAUGUUUAGGGGUCCUGAGAGGGUGGUCCCCCACACUGGUACUGAGACACGGACCAGACUCCUACGGGAGGCAGCAGUGAGGAAUAUUGGUCAAUGGGCGCAAGCCUGAACCAGCCAUCCCGCGUGCAGGAAGACGGCCCUAUGGGUUGUAAACUGCUUUUCCAGGGAGAGAAACUUACGCACGUGUUGCGCAAUUGACGGUACCCUGGGAAUAAGCAUCGGCUAACUCCGUGCCAGCAGCCGCGGUAAUCAUACCUCGUA
rnacentral:rRNA from 1 species